UUGGCUGGCUGAUGUUUUGCGUGUCGACAUCAUUUCGAUACAUGCGCACAACCAACUCACACUCACACACACACAAACACGAAUCGCAGUCGUGUAAAUUUUGCUUUCGUUUGUUUUGGACAAAACAACUACUUGCUGUCAAUCAAUUUCUCUCAUUUUUAAUGGAUACAACAAAGAUGUAACAAAAAUUGACAGAAAUACGCAGUUUUAUUCAUUUCUGUCCAUUUUCCAUGUAGUUUUUUCAAUUCUGUUCUGAUAACGAACGAUUUGAAAGGUAAAAGCACACAUAUAUAUUAUUUUCACGUUGGCUGCAGCGAAAUGAAACGUAUUUUUGUUUCAUUAGUUCCGGUAUGUGACGCCAGUUGUACAAUCGUCAGUUGUUUACAAUAAUACGGGUUUAUAGUUCACAAGACAAUAAUCUGAAAAGAAUCCACAGAACGUGUAACUUUUUAUGGGAUUUCGAUUCAAUUAUUCGUUUCUAAGUCCAGAAUUAAUUUUGAUUUUGGAUACAAAUUGCCGAACAACUCAACGAGACUGAAAGAUUCAGAGCCGAUGAUUCCAUUACUCCGCAGAUCCAUUACUCGGAAGAUUCUUCUUCGGGAAGCAUGCUAUAGAAAUACGGGGAAGGCCCAGGUUCUAAGGACUUUUCGAAUGUAACAAUUAUCAACAAAUUAUUUCGUGAACUACUAUACCAGUUAAAAAAAUAACAUAUGAAUUUUUAUUUAUUUAUUCUUAUUCUGGUACAAAUAACGAAAAAUUAUAUUUCCGCAAACGUUUUCGGUGGACAUUCCACCAUCCUCAGGCGAGUUUGAAACUAAACUAAAUACAAUAAUUGUCACAAUGGUUGCUAAAAUCAAAAUUCCUGUGUAUUUACAUUUCAAAUGACAUUUAAAUCACGGCUAAUGAGUGUAAACAUGCGAUUUUUUGUUGAAAAUGUCUUCAGUACUCAAUGGUUUUGUAAAAAUUUAUAUAAAGAUGUUUCAACUUGCGUUCUUUGGAUGUUCAUAUUUGAAUGCUUCGUUUUGUAAAUAUACAAAUUUCCAUAAGCAUCCGAUUUUCUUGGGUUAUUGACCUCCUUUAACAAACGGAAACCCGCAAAAUCAUGAUUGUUUUGCAACAUAUGAUCUGGCUGGUGUCGAUUUUCCGUAUGUUUUCUGAUGAAAUGGCCUGUAGUGUUCGUCAUACCGUUUACAAACUUCUCUACUACACUGUCCGAUGUACGGUUGGUUACAACCUGUGAAUAGUGCUGCAUAAAUACGAAAUUGAUCCAGCUCCUCGACUUUGGCUUUAAAAUUGCACAAGUGGGUUUUUAAUUUGUAACCCGUACUGUUUGGCGAAAGAAUAAUAAAAUGAUUUCGUAGAAUUUUUGUGAGUUUUGUUGUUAGUCCCUCAAUGAAAAAUCCACCCGAGUAGUAGCAAUCGUCAUCUCCAUCAAUGACAUUUGUUACCGAUUGGCUCAAGGACAACUCUCCUAUCCACUUUGAAUUUGACAAAUGAUAUUGAGCGCAAACACCACCUAGAUAAUCUAAGGCUAACGACAAUACAAUCAAGUAAACUGUCCGUUCUGUCAAACGUCAUACUGAAGUAUAACAUACAGACAUCACGAAUUCGCCAUCGGUUCUUUAGAUGGCGCUUCGGUCAACCGAGUUCCAACCAAAUACAUGUAUCAGUAUACGAAGCAUUCCACUGUUGCUCAAAGAUGUUGAUUCAUUCAAUUCUUUCUUUCGUUUAUGUUUUUUGAGCAAGGAGUCAAUGAUUUUUCUACUGAAACCAUUUAAAUCAGCAAUUCAAUGUAAUUUAUCAACCUAACAAUUAUGGUGAAAAACAUGCAGUACCAAGUUCCCGAACUAAAGCAGAAUUUUGAAAGGUAUUUGAUGAAUACGCUUGAUGAUAACAACGCUGUUGAUAUAGUACUUUGGUCUAGCAAUCAUUCCCGCGAAUUGAAGAGUUCCACCUUGAAAUAUAUCCAUGAAAAUCGUGAUGCAGUGACGAAAUCUGUCCAAUAGAUCAAGUUGAAGGCGACCAACCCAUAUGGAGCUUUUAUGAAAUUUUAUGAAUAUUCCAUUCGUCGCAGAUUGUAGAUCACCGGAUACAACGUUGUCUAACUGAAAUUUCAUAUUUGAAUAAAUCGAUUUAGAAAUACAGGAAUAAACGUUUACAAUUACCUCAA